rnacentral:rRNA from 1 species
UACGUAGGGUGCGAGCGUUUUAAUCGGAAUUACUGGGCGUAAAGCGUGCGCAGGCGGUUUUUUUCCAAGACAGAUGUGAAAUCCCGGGCUCAACCUGGGAAUGGCAUUUGUGACUUGGAAGGCUAGAGUGUGUCAGAGGGGGUAGAAUUCACGUGUAGCGGUGAAAUGCGCGAUAUAGAGGAACACCGGUGGCGAAGGCGGAUUCUCUGGGCCUUAACCUGGACGCUGGAGGACGAAAGCAUGGGGGAGCA